AAUCAAUACCUAACUUAGUCUGAAGUAAAUUUAGCAAUAAAAAUGAAACUCCUGGCUUUUCUGCUUCUUAGCUUGUAUAUUUUUGGUGUGUCAUCUGAAGAGGUAAGCAGCACUGAAACCUGUCUGAGCUACUGUGCACUAAACCAUAAGCCUGUUUGUGGAAAUAAUGGAACGUGCAGAUUUGAAUUCAAAAAUGUGUGCUAUAUGAAAAAUGCUAAUUGCUUUUCCACUGAGCACGGUAGGCCAGAAUUCAAAUUAAAUAACAAAGGACCAUGCCUUGGCAAUAGAAACAAAUGUAUUGGUGUUCAAAUGGAAUAGGACUGUCUACAAGAGCCAGGAUAUUUAUAGGUGGACAUCGCAAAAGUUCCCCCUGACCACAAAGCUGAGUUACAGAGCUUUUUCUAACACCGGAAACGGAAGUCACAAAGGCACAAGAAAACUUUUACUUUCCCAUGAUUGUUAAAUUGAAUAAAAAAAGCAAAAUUUGAAAUAUCCUGAA